CUCAGUGGGUGAGUGAGAUAGGCAUCGGGAGUCAUGCUAACUGAGUGAGUGAGAUAGGCAUAGGGAGUAUAGCUCAGUGGGUAGAGUGACUGGCUGGCACCUGGGAGGCCGGGGUUCGAUUCCAGGUGUGAGUGAGAUAGGUAUAGGGAGAAUAGGAGUGAGUGAGAUCAGCAUAGGGAGUAUAGCUCAGUGGGUGAGUGAGAUAGGCAUCGGGAGUAUAGCUAACUGGGUGAGUGAGAAAGGCAUAGGAGUACAUCUCAGUGGGUGAGUGAGAUCGGCAUCGGGAGUAUCGCUCAGUGAGUGAGAUAGGCAUCGGGAGUACAGCUCAGUGGGUGAGUGAGAUAGGCAUCGGGAGUCAUGCUAACUGAGUGAGUGAGAUAGGCAUAGGGAGUAUAGCUCAGUGGGUAGAGUGACUGGCUGGCACCUGGGAGGCCGGGGUUCGAUUCCAGGUGUGAGUGAGAUAGGUAUAGGGAGAAUAGGAGUGAGAGAGAUAGGCAUGGGGAGUAUAGCUAACUGAGUGAGUGAGAUAGGCAUAGGGAGUAUAGCUCAGUGGGUAGAGUGACUGGCUGGCACCUGGGAGGCCGGGGUUCGAUUCCAGGUGUGAGUGAGAUAGGUAAAGGGAGAAUAGGAGUGAGUGAGAUCGGCAUAGGGAGUAUAGCUCAGUGGGUGAGUGAGAUAGGCAUCGGGAGUAUAGCAAACUGGGUGAGUGAGAUCGGCAUCGGGAGAAUAGCUAACUGGGUGAGUGAGACAGGCACAGGGAGUACAGCUCAGUGGGUGAGUGAGAGAGGCAUCGGGAGUAUAGCUAACUGAGUGAGUGAGAUAGGCAUAGGGAGUAUAGCUCAGUGGGAAGAGUGACUGGCUGGCACCUGGGAGGCCGGGGUUCGAUUCCAGGUGUGAGUGAGAUAGGUAUAGGGAGAAUAGGAGUGAGUGAGAUCAGCAUCGGGAGUAUAGCUCAGUGGGUGAGUGAGAUAGGCAUCGGGAGUAUAGCUAACUGGGUGAGUGAGAAAGGCAUAGGGAGUACAUCUCAGUGGGUGAGUGAGAUCGGCAUCGGGAGUAUCGCUCAGUGAGUGAGAUAGGCAUCGGGAGUACAGCUCAGUGGGUGAGUGAGAUAGGCAUCGGGAGUAUAGCUAACUGGGUGAGUGAGAUAGGCAUCGGGAGUACAGCUCAGUGGGUGAGUGAGAUAGGCAUCGGGAGGAUAGCUAACUGAGUGAGUGAGAUAGGCAUCGGGAGGAUAGCUCAGUGGGUAGAGUGACUGGCUGGCACCUGGGAGGCCGGGGUUCGAUUCCAGGUGUGAGUGAGAUAGAUAUAGGGAGAAUAGGAGUGAGUGAGAUCGGCAUUGGGAGUAUAGCUCAGUGGGUGAGUGAGAUAGGCAUCGGGAGUAUAGCUAACUGGGUGAGUGAGAUCGGCAUCGGGAGUAUAGCUAACUGAGUGAGUGAGAUCGGCAUCGGGAGUACAGCUCAGUGAGUGAGAUAGGCAUCGGGAGUACAGCUCAGUGGGUGAGUGAGAUCGGCAUCAGGAGUAUAUCUAACUGGGUGAGAUAGGCAUCGGGAGUAUAGCUAACUGAGUGAGUGAGAUAGGCAUCGGGAGUAUAGCUAUCUGAGUGAGUGAGAUAGGCAUAGGGAGUAUAGCUCAGUGGGUGAGUGAGAUAGGCAUCGGGAGUAUAGCUAACUGGGUGAGUGAGAUAGGCGUAGGGAGAAUCGCUCAGUGGGUAGAGUGACUGGCUGGCACCUGGGAGG